UACAUAGGCAAGUACAUAAAGUCUAACAAAUCUAAAAUCGUUUGGCUAUAGACUACAAAGAAGAGCAAAGUGACCUGGGCUUUAUGUUUCCUUUGAAUCAUUUUUAGCAGUAACUUUCAAGACACAUUCCAUAAGAAUUGCUAGUUACCAACACUUCAAAAAAAAAAAUCAUGCUUGUUACCAAUAACAAGUACUCAAUAAACAUCUGUUAAGCCAAAGUGGGGGAGGGGGAAGAGAAGAAUAGAUAAUGGGCUUUUAUAGAUAAUGGAUAAUACAUUAUGGAUUUAGACAAUUU